rnacentral:misc_RNA from 1 species
AUCCCAUAAACCGUGGCUCAGUUCAGAUCGUAGGCUGCAACUCGCCUACGUGAAGUAGGAAUCGCUAGUAAUCGCAGGUCAGCAUACUGCGGUGAAUACGUUCCCGGGCCUUGUACACACCGCCCGUCACACCAUGGAAGUUGGCCAUGCCCGAAGUCGUUACUCCAACCCUUGUGGAGGAGGACGCCGAAGGUGGGGCUAAUGACUGGGGUGAAGUCGUAACAAGGUAGCCGUACCGGAAGGUGCGGCUGGAUCACCUCCUAACAGGGAGACAACAAAAUGUAAAUAUUAAUUUUGUCACCUUAGGUCGAUCGGUAUCUCAGAUUCUUAAUUUUUUAAGAAUUUCAGUUUCUAAGUUUUUUCUAGGUCACACCCAUCACUUUUCCCUGGGCCAUUAGCUCAGGUGGUUAGAGCGCACCCCUGAUAAGGGUGAGGUCCCUGGUUCAAGUCCAGGAUGGCCCAUAUCUCUAUGUUGGGGGUAUAGCUCAGUUGGUAGAGCGCCUGCUUUGCAAGCAGGAUGUCAGCGGUUCGAGUCCGCUUACCUCCACUGAAUACCACCUCUUAGAUAUUUAAAAGGGGGAGAUUGUUUUGAGUUGUGAUCUAUUUUGCUCUGAGCGAAUCUAGCUUCCUGUUUUUAUUUAAAAAAUAAGAUGCUGGACUCAUUGAAUUAUUAUUCAUUGUUUUCAGAGAACCUUGACAACUGCAUAGAUUUUUUUGAAGACAAUAAGCAUCUUUAAGAUGCAGAUUUAU